rnacentral:rRNA from 1 species
AAUUGUUCGCAAUGGGCGCAAGCCUGACGACGCAACGCCGCGUGGAGGAUGAAGAUCUUCGGGUCGUAAACUCCUUUCGAUCGAGACGAGUUCCUCUGGGGUGAACAAUCCCUGAGGUUGACGGUACCGAGAGAAGAAGCCCAGGCUAACUCCGUGCCAGCAGCCGCGGUAAAACGUAGGACACGAGCGUUAUCCGGAGUUACUGGGCGUAAAGGGCGUGCAGGCGGUUUUGUAAGUUUGAUGUGAAAGCGCCCGGCUUAACCGGGCGAGGACAUUGGAGACUGCAAGACUAGUGGCAGAUAGAGGGGUGUAGAAUUCCGGGUGUAGUGGUGAAAUGCGUAGAGAUCCGGAGGAAUACCAGAGGCGAAGGCGGCACCCUGGGUCUGACCUGACGCUGAGACGCGACAGCAUGGGGAGCGAAC